rnacentral:rRNA from 1 species
CCUGUGCUUGUCAUGGGUCUCGAGCGGACGAUUCACAAGCUUGCUUUUGGAUCGUUAGCGGCGGACGGGUGAGUAACACGUGGGCAACCUGCCCUGUAGACGGGGAUAACACCGAGAAAUCGGUGCUAAUACCGGAUAACACGAAAGGUCGCAUGGUCUUUCGUUGAAAGACGGCGCAAGCUGUCGCUACAGGAUGGGCCCGCGGCGCAUUAGCUAGUUGGUGAGGUAACGGCUCACCAAGGCGACGAUGCGUAGCCGACCUGAGAGGGUGAUCGGCCACACUGGGACUGAGACACGGCCCAGACUCCUACGGGAGGCAGCAGUAGGGAAUCUUCCGCAAUGGACGAAAGUCUGACGGAGCAACGCCGCGUGAGCGAAGAAGGCCUUCGGGUCGUAAAGCUCUGUUGUUAGGGAAGAACAAGUACCGCAGUCACUGGCGGUACCUUGACGGUACCUAACGAGGAAGCCACGGCUAACUACGUGCCAGCAGCCGCGGUAAUACUUAGGUGGCAAGCGUUGUCCGGAAUUAUUGGGCGUAAACGCGCGCANGCGGUUCCUUAAGUCUGAUGUGAAAGCCCCACGGCCUCAACCGUGGNAGGGUCAUUGGAAACUUGGGGGGACUUGAAUUGCAAAAAAAGAAAACGGGAAUU